rnacentral:rRNA from 1 species
CUCGUAGGCGGUCUGUUACGUCGGCUGUGAAAACCUGGGGCUCAACCCCGGGCCUGCAACCGAUACGGGCAGACUAGAAUUCGGUAGGGGAGACUGGAAUUCCUGGUGUAGCGGUGGAAUGCGCAGAUAUCAGGAGGAACACCGGUGGCGAAGGCGGGUCUCUGGGCCGACAUUGACGCUGAGGAGCGAAAGCGUGGGGAGCGAACA